UAUAUGCUAAACGCCAUAUAAAAGUUCCUGUGUGUUAAAGCUCCUCAUUCAGUCAACUUUAUUCUUCUAAAUGUGUUUCCAAUGGCUGACGGGGAUUUUUCACUGUCUCCGAGGGAGAUGCUCCCGCCGGAACAGGGGCUACAACAAUGACAUCCCCUCGCACUACGGAGGAUGCCAAGGGUGCUCCUCAAGCAUCGAGGGACGGGGCUCCUUCUUCUUUGGUGGGGAUGGCUCUGUCACCUGCAGCCGGGAAGCUUCGCCCUGCCCAAUCAUGCCAGCAUCCUCCACCUGCAGUGUUUCAGCGGGGUACAGCUGUGGCGGGGACGGGGCUGUUAUCAUAAGUAGUGGUGACAGUGGGGGGACGUCCGGCUGGAACACUGCAGGAGGCACAGUCCCAGCCUACAGCACCCGGCGGGGAGCAGGAUACGGCAUCGAGGACACGGGACGGAGAAUGGUUGGCAGCUCAGGGGGUGGUGGAGGAUCCAGCUGCUACUCUGGGAAUUUGGGCAUCGGUGCGGGAAGAGGCUCCAGCUAUGGAGGCUAUGCAUGCCACAGAGAAAAUGCUUUAACCGCAGGUGGGAGCAGCGGGGAAUUGGGGUUCUCUAGUGGAGCAUCGGGCUAUGGCAGUGGGGAGUUCUCCAGCCCAGAGCUGAGCUCUGGAGGUGCUGGAUCCUCCCAGGCCAUGCAGCAGAAGUGCCCCGUGGUCAUUCCCGACAUUGAGACCCAACAGAGCAAGAAGAGCUGCCACUGGCCCCCCAGCCAGAAGAAAUGAAGGACCCAGCAGCCGCCCCUGCCCAUGCAGACAUGCCCUGGAUGUGCCACGUUGAGGCUUUUCCCAUGGACCGGGAGCUUUGAAUUCCUUACAUCAGCCUGCACUUGUAAUGCUGUUGGGAGCACCUCUGGGAAAAGGGCUUCAUGCUUUGGUGGUUGGUUUGGCUUCCUCCUUUUUCUCAUGGCUUGGGAAAUAAAGCCUCAUUGUCUGAGGGAACUUCA
rnacentral:lncRNA from 1 species